AACCUCCGCAAUGUGAGAAAUCGCGACGGGGGGAUCCCAAGUGCCAUUCUUAACGGGAUGGCUUUUCAUUAGUGUAAAGAGCUUUUGGAAUAAGAGCUGGGCAAGACCGGUGCCAGCCGCCGCGGUAACACCGGCAGCUCUAGUGGUAACAAUUUUUAUUGGGCCUAAAGCGUCCGUAGCCGGUUUAAUAAGUCUCUGGUGAAAUCCUGUAGCUUAACUGUGGGAAUUGCUGGAGAUACUAUUAGACUUGAGACCGGGAGAGGUUAGAGGUACUCCCAGGGUAGAGGUGAAAUUCUGUAAUCCUGGGAGGACCGCCUGUUGCGAAGGCGUCUAACUGGAACGGUUCUGACGGUGAGGGACGAAAGUUAGGGGCGCGAACCGGAUUAGAUACCCGGGUAGUCCUAACUGUAACGAUGCGGACUUGGUGUUGGGGUGGCUUUGAGCUGCUCCAGUGCCGAAGGAGCUGUUAAGUCCGCCGCCUGGGAAGUACGGUCGCAAGACUGAAACUUAAAGGAAUU
rnacentral:rRNA from 1 species